CCUACGGGUGGCAGCAGUGGGGGAUAUUGCACAAUGGGGGAAACCCUGAUGCAGCGACGCCGCGUGAGUGAAGAAGUAUUUCGGUAUGUAAAGCUCUAUCAGCAGGGGAGAAAAUGAAAGUACCUGACAAAGAAGCCUCGGCUAACUACGUGCCAGCAGCCGCAGCAAUACGUAGGGGGCAAGCGUUAUCCGGAUGUACUGGGUGUAAAGGGAGAGUAGUCGGUUAUGUAAGGCUGGAGUGAAAGCCCGGGGCCCAACCCCGGGACUGCCUGUGAAACUGUGGAACUAGAGUACAGGAGGGGCAGGCGGAAUGCAUGGUGUAGCGGUGAAAUGCGUAGAUAUCAGGAGGAACACCGGUGGCGAAGGCGGCCUGCUGGACUGAAACUGACGUUGAGGCUCGAAAGCGUGGGGAGCAAACAGGAUUAGAUACCCCAGUAGUC
rnacentral:rRNA from 1 species